rnacentral:tRNA from 1 species
GGGGAUUUGGCUCAGUGGCACAGCACUUGCCUGGCAAGCAUGAGGUCCUGAAUUCGAUCCCCA